CAAAGUGUUUCUUGUUUGUUCUGAAAAGUAGCCACCCCCUGUGCUUAUUCAUGUGAAUGACUACAACAUGCUGGGGGCGUGUCUUCUCAGUAUCCACCCA